rnacentral:sRNA from 1 species
AUUCACUUGGCUCGCACGGCGCAGACCGCGCAGGGAGCACACACCGCCAGUCUGUGCGCUGAGUCGGAGCCAGAGGCCGCGGGGACACCGGGCCAUGCACGCCCCCAACUGAAACUGCAUCUCAAAGCCGAAGAUUCCAGCAGCCCAGGGGAUUUCAAAGAGCUCAGACUCAGAGGAACAUCUGCGGAGAGACCCCCGAAGCCCGCUACAGGACAGUCGUCAUCCAGAAGCUCCGCUAGUGCAGACAGGAGCGCGCAGUGGCCCCGGCUCGCCGCGCCAUGGAGCGGAUCCCCAGCGCGCAACCACCCCCCGCCUGCCUGCCCAAAGCACCGGGACUGGAGCACGGAGACCUACCAGGGAUGUACCCUGCCCACAUGUACCAAGUGUACAAGUCAAGACGGGGAAUAAAGCGGAGCGAGGACAGCAAGGUAAGCAAGUGCACCCCUAGGGACCCUGCGCUCAGCCCCUCGCGCGCUCUGAGUUUCCAAGAAAAGUUUUCUCGCUUUGAGGUUGGCGAGGGGAUGCAGGUGUGGGCUCGGUGCCUCUUCUGAGUGACUUGGAAAACAAAGGGCAGAUGAUGGUUCUGGGUGCUACUCUGCUCCUCUGCCGGACUGUUGCUGCGGGGCUGGGAGGAUAGGCUUCUCAUCUCCUUCCCCAAGCGCCCACCGCCUCCCCGUGCGUCUUGCAGGAGACCUACAAAUUGCCGCACCGGCUCAUCGAGAAAAAGAGACGUGACCGGAUUAACGAGUGCAUCGCCCAGCUGAAGGAUCUCCUACCCGAACAUCUCAAACUUACAACUUUGGGUCACCUGGAAAAAGCAGUGGUUCUUGAACUUACCUUGAAGCAUGUGAAAGCACUAACAAACCUAAUUGAUCAGCAGCAGCAGAAAAUCAUUGCCCUGCAGAGUGGUUUACAAGCUGGUGAGCUGUCAGGGAGAAAUGUCGAAACAGGUCAAGAGAUGUUCUGCUCAGGUUUCCAGACAUGUGCCCGGGAGGUGCUUCAGUAUCUGGCCAAGCACGAGAACACUCGGGACCUGAAGUCUUCGCAGCUUGUCACCCACCUCCACCGGGUGGUCUCGGAGCUGCUGCAGGGUGGUACCUCCAGGAAGUCAUCAGACCCAGCUCCCAAAGUGAUGGACUUCAAGGAAAAACCCAGCUCUCCGGCCAAAGGCUCGGAAGGUCCUGGGAAAAACUGCGUGCCAGUCAUCCAGCGGACUUUCGCUCACUCGAGUGGGGAGCAGAGUGGCAGCGACACGGACACAGACAGUGGCUAUGGAGGAGAAUCGGAGAAGGGCGACUUGCGCAGUGAGCAGCCAUGCUUCAAAAGUGACCAUGGACGCAGGUUCACCAUGGG